UACGUAGGGUGCGAGCGUUGUCCGGAAUUAUUGGGCGUAAAGAGCUUGUAGGCGGUUUGUCGCGUCUGCUGUGAAAAUCCGGGGCUCAACCCCGGACUUGCAGUGGGUACGGGCAGGCUAGAGUGUGGUAGGGGAGACUGGAAUUCCUGGUGUAGCGGUGAAAUGCGCAGAUAUCAGGAGGAACACCGGUGGCGAAGGCGGCCAUCUGGGCUACAACUGACGCUGAGGCGCGAGAGCGUGGGGAGCAAACAGG
rnacentral:rRNA from 1 species